rnacentral:rRNA from 1 species
ACGCUCGACACCUACGGGAGGCAGCAGUGGGGAAUAUUGCACAAUGGGGGAAACCCUGAUGCAGCGACGCCGCGUGAAGGAAGAAGUAUCUCGGUAUGUAAACUUCUAUCAGCAGGGAAGAAAGUGACGGUACCUGACUAAGAAGCCCCGGCUAACUACGUGCUAGCAGCCGCGGUAAUCUGAGCGGGCUGGCAAGGC